CGUCUAUAUACGUAUAGCAUAUCAAUAAGCGGAGGAAAAGAAACUAACUAGGAUUCCCUUAGUAACGGCGAGUGAAGCGGGAAGAGCUCAAAUUUGAAAUCUUCAAGGUUUUACCUUGACGAAUUGUAGUUUAAAGAAGUGUUUUCUGUUGGUAGUUUUGGUAAAAGUUCUUUGGAAAUAGGACAUCAUAGAGGGUGAGAAUCCCGUAUUUGGUACCAUUCCUUCCUAGCUGUUGUGAUACACUUUCAACGAGUCGGAUUGUUUGGGAAUGCAGUCCAAAAUGGGUGGUAAAUUUCAUCUAAAGCUAAAUAUUGGCGAGAGACCGAUAGCGAACAAGUACCGUGAGGGAAAGAUGAAAAGAACUUUGAAAAGAGAGUUAAACAGUACGUGAAAUUGUCAAAAGGGAAGCGUUUGACACCAGUGUUGUUUUUCUCGAAAAUCAAUUAGACUGGAUUUUGUUUCUGAGGAGUGAUGACUUUAUCAGGCUUUCCUUCUCUCUUUACGAGUCUUUCUGUAAUGCACUUUUCGGUUAACAAGUCAACAUCAAUUUCUUUUGUUGUAAAAGAGUAUUCGGAAGGUGGCUUUCUUUUCGGAGAAAGUGUUUAUAGCCCUAUACUUCUACAAUCGGAGAGAUUGAGGUCUGCAGCGUAGAUCCUUCGGGGUUAGAUACACUUUGUGCUAAGUUGUAGCUUUUCAUAGACAACUUGUUGACUAUGUUUAGUCAUUGUAGGCUUACUCGCUUACUGCUAUUUUACCUACGCUUAGGAUGUUGACUGAUAUGUAGUCGU
rnacentral:rRNA from 1 species